UGGACGAGAGGCUGACUGUGUGUUUGGAUAUAAUGAUCAUUGCUGGAGUCUGAACUGGUCUGAUGGUGGUUACUCUGUCUGUCACAAUAACAGAAGAACAGACCUCACUUCCUGCUCUGUCUCUAACAGAGUAGCAGUGUAUGUGGACGUUCCUGCUGGCUCUCUGUCCUUCUACACAGUCUCCUCUGACUCACUGAUCCACCUCCACACCUUCUACACCACAUUCACUCAGCCUCUCUAUCCUGGGUUUGGGUUCUGGUCUGGUUCCUCAGUGUCUCUGUGUCCUCUGCAGGACUGAGAGUCUCUCCUGUGGACAGAAACACU